rnacentral:rRNA from 1 species
GACAGCAGCCGCCACGGUAAUACGGAGGGUGCAAGCGUUAAUCGGAAUUACUGGGCGUAAAGCGCACGCAGGCGGUCUGACAAGUCAGAUGUGAAAUCCCCGGGCUUAACCUGGGAACUGCAUUUGAAACUGUCAGGCUGGAGUCUUGUAGAGGGGGGUAGAAUUCCAGGUGUAGCGGUGAAAUGCGUAGAGAUCUGGAGGAAUACCGGUGGCGAAGGCGGCCCCCUGGACAAAGACUGACGCUCAGGUGCGAAAGCGUGGGGAGCAAACAGGAUUAGAUACCCCUGUAGUCCCUGUCUCUUAUAC